rnacentral:rRNA from 1 species
GGUCAAGCUACAAAGGGCUCACGGAGGAUACCUU